rnacentral:rRNA from 1 species
AUGGCGGAGGAACCGUCUGCCAAGCGUCAUCAUGCUGAGACGUCAGACAAGAGGAGCAACCUCAUCGACAUUAACGUCCCUGGCGAGAAGCGCGAGUACACCAGAACGCUCAAAGGGGUUGAGCUCCACGGCAAGGAGACGCUGGAGAUCGUCUGCACCAGCGAACCAGACAAGGCUGACGAGAUGAUGAGUCCAAGCGCCUCAAAGACUUCCUGCGGUAGGAGAAAUUGUACACAUUUGUUGGUUUCAGCAUUGGAGGUGACAAGCGGAUGCUGUAGGAGUCUGGUUUGGAAAUCAACCCCAACAACUUCAUCGACAUGCAGCGCAAGUGGAAAGAUCCAAAGACCAGAAAAUACUACGACUCCUUGGCCGAUGUUGCAGGCAGCGUCAUCCACCCAUUCUACGAAGGCAUGA